rnacentral:tRNA from 1 species
UCCCUGGUGGUCCAGUGGUAAGACUUCGAGUUUGCAGUGCAGGGGGCCCAGGUUCUAUCCCUGGUCAGGGAA